UACGUAGGGGCCGAGCGUUGUCCGGAGUUAUUGGGCGUAAAGCGCGCGCAGGCGGCCUCGCGCGCCCGACGUGAAAGCCCCCGGCUUAACCGGGGAGGGUCGUUGGGGACGGCGGGGCUUGAGGGCGGGAGAGGCCGGUGGAAUUCCCGGUGUAGUGGUGAAAUGCGUAGAGAUCGGGAGGAACACCUGUGGCGAAGGCGGCCGGCUGGGCCGACCCUGACGCUGAGGCGCGAAGGCGUGGGGAGCGAACGGG
rnacentral:rRNA from 1 species